ACAUGCAAGUCGAACGCUUUGUGGUUCAACUGAUUUGAAGAGCUUGCUCAGAUAUGACGAUGGACAUUGCAAAGAGUGGCGAACGGGUGAGUAACACGUGGGAAACCUACCUCUUAGCAGGGGAUAACAUUUGGAAACAGAUGCUAAUACCGUAUAACAAUGACAACCGCAUGGUUGUUAUUUAAAAGAUGGUUCUGCUAUCACUAAGAGAUGGUCCCGCGGUGCAUUAGCUAGUUGGUAAGGUAAUGGCUUACCAAGGCGAUGAUGCAUAGCCGAGUUGAGAGACUGAUCGGCCACAAUGGGACUGAGACACGGCCCAUACUCCUACGGGAGGCAGCAGUAGGGAAUCUUCCACAAUGGGCGAAAGCCUGAUGGAGCAACGCCGCGUGUGUGAUGAAGGGUUUCGGCUCGUAAAACACUGUUGUAAGAGAAGAAUGACAUUGAGAGUAACUGUUCAAUGUGUGACGGUAUCUUACCAGAAAGGAACGGCUAAAUACGUGCCAGCAGCCGCGGUAAUACGUAUGUUCCAAGCGUUAUCCGGAUUUAUUGGGCGUAAAGCGAGCGCAGACGGUUAUUUAAGUCUGAAGUGAAAGCCCUCAGCUCAACUGAGGAAUUGCUUUGGAAACUGGAUGACUUGAGUGCAGUAGAGGAAAGUGGAACUCCAUGUGUAGCGGUGAAAU
rnacentral:rRNA from 1 species